GCAUCCACCUGGUGUCAGGUGUUGUAACAGUUCGUUUGGAUACAUGUCCGGAAUAAAGACAAGUGCCAGAAAUAUUCAAACACACAAAAUAUCUUUUAUUACAGUGAGAAUAAUAAUAAU